rnacentral:hammerhead_ribozyme from 1 species
AUACAGCUGACGAGUCCCAAAUAGGACGAAACACGCGUCAAACUGGAU